CAAGCUACAUUGGAGGAACUACAUGCAUUCAAUUUCCAGCUUGUCUGCAGACUGCAGGUUGCUUGCAGUACCCUGAUGGUGUGGAUGGCAAAAACGCAAUCAUAAAGGAUUUCAUGCAGUGGUACAUCAUUUACCGCAACCAUUUUGCCAUACAAAGAUUCAAAGACAGACUUGAAGCCUUGGAUGUGAUUCAUGCUUUGGAGCAGCACGGAAGUGUUUUCAGAGCUUUUAUGUGCUCAAGUGUGGUAGAGCUGACUUCUGCCACAUUGGAGGAAGUCUUUGAGGUUCAGAACAGCAGCGAAAAAGGAAGCACAAGACGCCAUGAGGAAACCAGGGUGCUGGGAUUUUGGAGAGACUAUCUCCUUUAAAAAGAAGAAAAACGAACAGGACUCCUCCUCAGUGACAUCCUGAUGUUCUCAACAGGAUUAAACACCCUGCCACCGUCUGGAAUCCAGCCGAAAUCCCAAUUGGUUUUUCACCGGACAUCUCGCUUUCCAAUCGGCAGAACCUGCUCAAACACAAUAGAAAUACCAAUGUCAAGCACCUACGAACAGUUUGAAAGCAACAUGGACUUUGGAAUCCAAAAUUCGCCUGGUUUUGGACUUUAUUGAAAGCUGGGCUUACAAUUUACAAAUUAGCCAUGUUCUUCAUAUUUAUAUAGUUCGUAACACAAGACUCCCAGGUCAAGGGUUGCAUUAGACCACUCGUUCUUUGAAGGUUCUCAAAGUGUUCCUGGAAGUGGUCGUCUCCACAUAGACUGUUGGUCGAGUCCAGAACAAACUGGCCCAAGUCGUCUUGUGGGACUGGGAACCCACAGUCAGUUCCACCGUACCUGGAUGUGCAAUAUGUUCAACAGUUUAUUAUUCACGUGUACAAAAUUGUUCUUGAAAUGUUGUUUUGUUGAACUUCUUUGAAAAUUAAAAAAGUUACUGUCACUUAA